AUUGAACGCUGGCGGCAUGCCUUACACAUGCAAGUCGAACGGCAGCACGGGUGCUUGCACCUGGUGGCGAGUGGCGAACGGGUGAGUAAAGUAUCGGAACGUGCCUGGUAGUGGGGGAUAACUAGUCGAAAGACUAGCUAAUACCGCAUACGAUCUAAGGAUGAAAGCAGGGGACCUUCGGGCCUUGUGCUAUCAGAGCGGCCGAUAUCUGAUUAGCUAGUUGGUGGGGUAAAAGCCCACCAAGGCGACGAUCAGUAGCUGGUCUGAGAGGACGACCAGCCACACUGGAGCUGAGACACGGUCCAGACUCCUACGGGAGGCAGCAGUGGGGAAUUUUGGACAAUGGGGGCAACCCUGAUCCAGCAAUGCCGCGUGAGUGAAGAAGGCCCUCGGGUUGUAAAGCUCUUUUGUCAGGGAAGAAAAGGCUGUGGCUAAUAUCCACAGCUGCUGACGGUACCUGAAGAAUAAGCACCGGCUAACUACGUGCCAGCCGCCGCCGUAA
rnacentral:rRNA from 1 species